rnacentral:rRNA from 1 species
GCGGCGUGCUUAACACAUGCAAGUCGAACGGAAAGGCCCUUCGGGGUACUCGAGUGGCGAACGGGUGAGUAACACGUGGGUGAUCUGCCCUGCACUUUGGGAUAAGCCUGGGAAACUGGGUCUAAUACCGAAUAGGACCGCAUGCUUCAUGGUGUGUGGUGGAAAGCUUUUGCGGUGUGGGAUGGGCCCGCGGCCUAUCAGCUUGUUGGUGAGGUAAUGGCUUACCAAGGCGACGACGGGUAGCCGGCCUGAGAGGGUGACCGGCCACACUGGGACUGAGAUACGGCCCAGACUCCUACGGGAGGCAGCAGUGGGGAAUAUUGCACAAUGGGCGCAAGCCUGAUGCAGCGACGCCGCGUGAGGGAUGACGGCCUUCGGGUUGUAAACCUCUUUCGCCAGGGACGAAGCGCAAGUGACGGUACCUGGAGAAGAAGGACCGGCCAACUACGUGCCAGCAGCCGCGGUAAUACGUAGGGUCCGAGCGUUGUCCGGAAUUACUGGGCGUAAAGAGCUCGUAGGUGGUUUGUCGCGUUGUUCGUGAAAACUCACAGCUUAACUGUGGGCGUGCGGGCGAUACGGGCAGACUUGAGUACUGCAGGGGAGACUGGAAUUCCUGGUGUAGCGGUGGAAUGCGCAGAUAUCAGGAGGAACACCGGUGGCGAAGGCGGGUCUCUGGGCAGUAACUGACGCUGAGGAGCGAAAGCGUGGGGAGCGAACAGGAUUAGAUACCCUGGUAGUCCACGCCGUAAACGGUGGGUACUAGGUGUGGGUUUCCUUCCUUGGGAUCCGUGCCGUAGCUAACGCAUUAAGUACCCCGCCUGGGGAGUACGGCCGCAAGGCUAAAACUCAAAGAAAUUGACGGGGGCCCGCACAAGCGGCGGAGCAUGUGGAUUAAUUCGAUGCAACGCGAAGAACCUUACCUGGGUUUGACAUGCACAGGACGCCGGCAGAGAUGUCGGUUCCCUUGUGGCCUGUGUGCAGGUGGUGCAUGGCUGUCGUCAGCUCGUGUCGUGAGAUGUUGGGUUAAGUCCCGCAACGAGCGCAACCCUUGUCUCAUGUUGCCAGCACGUUAUGGUGGGGACUCGUGAGAGACUGCCGGGGUCAACUCGGAGGAAGGUGGGGAUGACGUCAAGUCAUCAUGCCCCUUAUGUCCAGGGCUUCACACAUGCUACAAUGGCCGGUACAAAGGGCUGCGAUGCCGUGAGGUGGAGCGAAUCCUUUCAAAGCCGGUCUCAGUUCGGAUCGGGGUCUGCAACUCGACCCCGUGAAGUCGGAGUCGCUAGUAAUCGCAGAUCAGCAACGCUGCGGUGAAUACGUUCCCGGGCCUUGUACACACCGCCCGUCACGUCAUGAAAGUCGGUAACACCCGAAGCCGGUGGCCUAACCCCUUGUGGGAGGGAGCCGUCGAAGGUGGGAUCG